UUUUUUUUUUUUUUUUUUUUUUUUUUUUUUUUUUGUGGACCCUUUCAUCACCACAUACUGGUAUGUCACUUAAGGGUCCAAACAAGGACUUUGUCUUCCUUGUAGGCAUGUAACUGAUAAUGUUCAGAAAAAGGACACGAGCAUUCUUCUAUUUCUAUUACUGUUCUCUUUAAUACAGAUCUGCUUCUGACUACAGUAAGACUUCUGUCCUAGUUUCAGCCAAAGACAGGUUAAUUUUUAGCUGUAGCCACGAGGUGGCAGAGCCUGGAGCUGUGUGUGUGUGUCUAGGUUGUUACUCUAUGCCAUGGACUUCAUCAGAGGGAGGCAGAAAUAAGGGAUUCUCCCUUCCAAGGAGGAUGAUGUGGCUUGUUGACGUUGCCAAUGUGUUUUUCUCCACUCCUCUGGCAGCAGAAUGCAGUUUGCUUUCACCUGGAGGGACAUGCAGUACACCUGGAAUUGACUCCUCCAUGGGUGGAAGCACAGCCCCACCCUCUGCUAUGGACAGAUCCAGGCUGCACUGGAAAACAGUGAGGCUUCAGAACGCCUGCAGUUCUUUGAUGACAUCAUUGUAUGGAGCAACAUGGCAGAGGAAUUUUUUGAGAAAGGGGGAAUAUAACCCAGAGCCUCCUGAAGGCCGGUUCUGCCAUAAAACAAAGAUUAAUGGACCUGCCCAGGAAACUCAAGUCUUUGGAGUAAAAUGGCAAGAUGAACGUUGUCACAUUCUCAUGGACGUGGUCAAAAACCAGCAAAAUACCAACUGUGUUCCCACCAACAGGCAAGAAGGAAACAGUUUUCUAUCUCAUUGUUCUUUCCAGUAAAUUUUUCAUAUCUCAACUAACUGCUCUUUGUCUGUCUUACUGGAGGCAGGGGAAGAAGGGGAGUGGGUUGUGGUUUCCAUUUUAGUGGGAAAACUAAAUUAUGUCAUUCCAUUCCUACACCACAACAACUUCUUAUACCAAAUUCUAGCCAUGUGAGGAUAUAAAAUGCCUGUGUGUAUAUGGCCAAAGGUAGGAAAAACAAGAAGGCUAAGGACUGCAUGAAAUGGUCCCUCCUUCCAUAUGCCUUCCUAAACCUCAGAGACUUCCUAAAUUAGGUGUUUUAACUACUAUAGUUUGCCCUUGAUAGUUAAUCAAUUCUGAAUAGAUGCACUGGUUCCCUUUUUGAACAUUUUUUAAUAGAUCUUACUAAUUUUCUGUAGCACUGAAUAAGGAGCCCUAAGAGUUCUCCAAUAAAGGGACUUCUGAAAGUAAAUAUGUGUGAUGGGCAGGUGUCAUUUGUUGCCUUCAAGUGUCCUUGUAGCCUACAGUGGUGCAAGUGCCCCCCACGCAGCCAUCUCAUGCCCAUGGGAGAUUGUGUGACUGUCCCACUAUGGGUCCAUUCACUACUGGCAUGUGCUCAUCACAGUUUUUUUUUUUACUUUGAGUAAAAAAAAUACAGGCUGUAUUUGAUACUAGAGUAAUUUUGCCUUUUCCCUUCAGAACAACAACAGCUAUCCACAGAAUUUAAUGGGAAAUAUUAAAGAAAGUGUUUUGGGACCAGAAUCCCUUAGUAUCAUGGUCUGUACCUUUUAGGAGUGCUUGCAUGUUUUUCCUGCAGUAAUAGUGGAGUACUUUGAUGUUCGCAAUUGUAUUUUUUAUCAACAUUUUCUAACUUCUUUUCAUGUUUUUCAGAAAAUCUCCAUUAAUUUCUAGGAGUAUGGUUGCUUGUAAAGCUCCUGACUUUUUUGAGAUUCAAAAAAACCCCAAAAAUUCAGCUGCUAAUUUUUAGGGUUUGCUGUAGAACAGAAGAAAUAAUUGUAAUAAAUUUUCUUGAAUUUGCCAUGAUAAUAUUAAUAACAUUUCUAUAAAGCUUGGAUUGAAACAAAAAA
ensembl:lncRNA